GACGAACGCUGGCGGCGUGCUUAACACAUGCAAGUCGAACGGAAAGGCCCUGCUUUUGUGGGGUCUCGAGUGGCGAACGGGUGAGUAACACGUGAGUAACCUGCCCUUGACUUUGGGAUAACUUCAGGAAACUGGGGCUAAUACCGGAUAGGAGCUCCUGCUGCAUGGUGGGGGUUGGAAAGUUUCGGCGGUUGGGGAUGGACUCGCGGCUUAUCAGCUUGUUGGUGGGGUAGUGGCUUACCAAGGCUUUGACGGGUAGCCGGCCUGAGAGGGUGACCGGCCACAUUGGGACUGAGAUACGGCCCAGACUCCUACGGGAGGCAGCAGUGGGGAAUAUUGCACAAUGGGCGGAAGCCUGAUGCAGCAACACCGCGUGCGGGAUGACGGCCUUCGGGUUGUAAACCGCUUUCGCCUGUGACGAAGCGUGAGUGACGGUAAUGGGUAAAGAAGCACCGGCUAACUACGUG
rnacentral:rRNA from 1 species